rnacentral:lncRNA from 1 species
CUGAUUCAUCCAUAUUUCCCUACAGCCCUGAGAGCAGAGUUGGUGAUGAGGAUAGAGCAGAACAUCUGGCUCAGAGUCACCACUGGCAGCCCUUAGUGACCAGUGGAUUUUCACUUAUGGAAAUAGAUCCUCUUCAUUUCUGCCUGAGAAGACACAGUGAAUGGUAACAUGAUGACGUUUCACACAGACCAGGAACAGGGAACUUGAAAGUUUAGUCCGAUGUCACAAUGUCUGAGGAAAGAAAAAUAUGCCUUGAGGGUUCCACACCACUAAAUGUGGCCAUAAGGUAGUAUUGUGUCAACUUAACACAAGCUAUAGUCAUCAGAGGAAGGAGCCUCAGCUGAGAAAAUGCCUCCUGGAGACCCAGCUGGGGAUUGGAUUUAGUGACCAUGGAGAAGUCAAACACAUGGACUCAUGGACUCUUGGCCUCCCAUCUCAGUGUCAACUGAGUCUUCUUUGAACCUGCCAAGAUGCCUUGUUUGUUGACCACUUAGAUAGGCACUCUGACACAUGGCUCAUGUUCAACCCACAUUCAAGUGGGGAAAACUCAACAAACAAAGAGAAGGUGAACAGUGCCUAAUGGUAUCUGCCUUUGGUUGCUGUCUGAACCCUGGGUUUUCCAGGUUCUUGGUGUAUUAUCGGAAGAACAGGGAAAAUACACACAGAAAAAGCAAGGCGCCAAAGAAGUGUUUUGAAGAACCAAGGUUUUUCCCCCCUUCAUGAGAAUGAAGACAAAAACAAAAACAGAGGGGAUGGGAGAUGCCUUGCUCUGUUGAGCAACAGGAAGUCGUGUGAAAACCUGUUUGCUCUCUCUGCUGUGAAGAAGAUUGCUGAAGAGACACAACCCUGCACUCUGCUAUGUAAACCACCUACAGAAGUGGCAGGGGUCAUCGUGGGAAAAGAAGGAGUGCCUUGGACCCAAAGUGACAAGAGUCAAUGCAUUCAGUCAUCUCUAGAUGAAAGGGAAACCAUUGAGCACUCAGUUAUAUCAGGGGUUUUGAUAUUUUCUUCCUGUUUUUGUCCCCCUCCUCUCUCUCUCUCU